AUGCUUGCUUCAGCAGCAUAUAUACUAAAAUUGGAAUGAUACAGAGAAGAUUAGCACGGCCCCGGCGCAAGGAUGACACACAAAUUCAUGAAGCGUUCCAUAUUUUU
ensembl:snRNA U6 U6 spliceosomal RNA